GACGAACGCUGGCGGCGUGCUUAACACAUGCAAGUCGAGCGGAAAGGCCCUUUCGGGGGUACUCGAGCGGCGAACGGGUGAGUAACACGUGAGUAAUCUGCCCUUGGCUUUGGGAUAACCACCGGAAACGGUGGCUAAUACCGGAUAUGAUGGGCUCCGGCAUCGGGGUUCGUGGAAAGUUUUUCGGCCAGGGAUGUGCUCGCGGCCUAUCAGCUUGUUGGUGGGGUAAUGGCCUACCAAGGCUUCGACGGGUAGCCGGCCUGAGAGGGUGACCGGCCACACUGGGACUGAGACACGGCCCAGACUCCUACGGGAGGCAGCAGUGGGGAAUAUUGGGACAAUGGGCGGAAGCCUGAUCCAGCAACGCCGCGUGAGGGAUGACGGCCUUCGGUUGUAAACCUACUUCUAGUACCGACGAAGCGCCGAUGAUGGUGGUGACGGUAGGUACAGAAGAAGCACGGCCAACUACGUGCCAGCAGCCGCGGU
rnacentral:rRNA from 1 species